AUUGAACGCUGGCGGCAUGCCUUACACAUGCAAGUCGAACGGCAGCAUGGAGAGCUUGCUCUCUGAUGGCGAGUGGCGAACGGGUGAGUAAUGCAUCGGAACGUACCGUGUAAUGGGGGAUAACGUAGCGAAAGUUACGCUAAUACCGCAUACGACCUGAGGGUGAAAGCAGGGGAUCGCAAGACCUUGCGUUAUACGAGCGGCCGAUGUCAGAUUAGCUAGUUGGUGAGGUAAAGGCUCACCAAGGCGACGAUCUGUAGCGGGUCUGAGAGGAUGAUCCGCCACACUGGGAGUGAGACAAGGCCCAGACUCCUACGGGAGGCAGCAGUGGGGAAUUUUGGACAAUGGGGGCAACCCUGAUCCAGCCAUGCCGCGUGAGUGAAGAAGGCCUUCGGGUUGUAAAGCUCUUUCGGCCGGGAAGAAAUCGCACAGGCUAAUACUCUGUGUGGAUGACGGUACCGGCAUAAGAAGCACCGGCUAACUACGUGCCAGCCGCCGCAGUAA
rnacentral:rRNA from 1 species